UAGGGAAUCUUCGGCAAUGGGGGGAACCCUGACCGAGCAACGCCGCGUGAGUGAAGAAGGUUUUCGGAUCGUAAAGCUCUGUUGUUAAGGAAGAACGAGUGUGAGAAUGGAAAGUUCAUGCUGUGACGGUACUUAACCAGAAAGGGACGGCUAACUACGUGCCAGCAGCCGCGGUAAUACGUAGGUCCCGAGCGUUGUCCGGAUUUAUUGGGCGUAAAGCGAGCGCAGGCGGUUAGAAAAGUCUGAAGUGAAAGGCAGUGGCUCAACCAUUGUAGGCUUUGGAAACUGUUUAACUUGAGUGCAGAAGGGGAGAGUGGAAUUCCAUGUGUAGCGGUGAAAUGCGUAGAUAUAUGGAGGAACACCGGUGGCGAAAGCGGCUCUCUGGUCUGUAACUGACGCUGAGGCUCGAAAGCAUGGGUAGCAAACAGG
rnacentral:rRNA from 1 species